GACGAACGCUGGCGGCGUGCUUAACACAUGCAAGUCGAACGGAAAGGCCCUGCUUUCGUGGGGUGCUCGGGUGGCGAACGGGUGAGUAACACGUGAGUAACCUGCCCUUGACUUUGGGAUAACUUCAGGAAACGGGGGUUAAUCCCGGAUAGGAGCCCAUGCACCAUGGUGGGGGUUGGAAAGUUGCGGCGGUUGGGGAUGGACUCGCGGCUUAUCAGCUUGUUGGUGGGGUAGUGGCUUACCAAGGCUUUGACGGGUAGCCGGCCUGAGAGGGUGACCGGCCACCAUGGGACUGAGAUACGGCCCAGACUCCUACGGUAGGCAGCAGUGGGGAAUAUUGCACAAUGGGCGGAAGCCUGAUGCAGCAACGCCGCGUGCGGGAUGACGGCCUUCGGGUUGUAAACCGCUUUCGCCUGUGACGAAGCGUGAGUGACGGUAAUGGGUAAAGAAGCACCGGCUAACUACGUG
rnacentral:rRNA from 1 species